rnacentral:ncRNA from 1 species
GGCCGGAUAAGGCGUUCACGCCGCAUCCGGCAAUCGAGCGCAAUGCCAGAUGCGACGCUAGCGCGUCUUAUCAGGCC